GCCGCAGUGAAUAGGCCCAAGCGACUGUUUAGCAAAAACACAGCUCUCUGCGAAGCCGUAAGGCGAAGUAUAGGGGGUGACACCUGCCCGGUGCUGGAAGGUUAAGGAGAGGGGUUAGCGUAAGCGAAGCUCUGAACUGAAGCCCCAGUAAACGGCGGCCGUAACUAUAACGGUCCUAAGGUAGCGAAAUUCCUUGUCGGGUAAGUUCCGACCCGCACGAAAGGUGUAACGAUUUGGGCACUGUCUCAACCAGAGACUCGGUGAAAUUAUAGUACCUGUGAAGAUGCAGGUUACCCGCGACAGGACGGAAAGACCCCGUGGAGCUUUACUGUAGCCUGAUAUUGAAUUUUGGUACAGUUUGUACAGGAUAGGCGGGAGCCAUUGAAACCGGAGCGCUAGCUUCGGUGGAGGCGCUGGUGGGAUACCGCCCUGACUGUAUUGAAAUUCUAACCUACGGGUCUUAUCGACCCGGGAGACAGUGUCAGGUGGGCAGUUUGACUGGGGCGGUCGCCUCCUAAAGUGUAACGGAGGCGCCCAAAGGUUCCCUCAGAAUGGUUGGAAAUCAUUCGUAGAGUGCAAAGGCAUAAGGGAGCUUGACUGCGAGACCUACAAGUCGAGCAGGGACGAAAGUCGGGCUUAGUGAUCCGGUGGUUCCGCAUGGAAGGGCCAUCGCUCAACGGAUAAAAGCUACCCCGGGGAUAACAGGCUUAUCUCCCCCAAGAGUCCACAUCGACGGGGAGGUUUGGCACCUCGAUGUCGGCUCAUCGCAUCCUGGGGCUGUAGUCGGUCCCAAGGGUUGGGCUGUUCGCCCAUUAAAGCGGUACGCGAGCUGGGUUCAGAACGUCGUGAGACAGUUCGGUCCCUAUCCGUCGUGGGCGUAGGAAAUUUGAGAGGAGCUGUCCUUAGUACGAGAGGACCGGGAUGGACGCACCGCUGGUGUACCAGUUGUUCUGCCAAGGGCAUAGCUGGGUAGCUAUGUGCGGAAGGGAUAAGUGCUGAAAGCAUCUAAGCAUGAAGCCCCCCUCAAGAUGAGAUUUCCCAUAGCGUAAGCUAGUAAGAUCCCUGAAAGAUGAUCAGGUUGAUAGGUUCGAGGUGGAAGCAUGGUGACAUGUGGAGCUGACGAAUACUAAUAGAUCGAGGACUUAACCAU
rnacentral:rRNA from 1 species